rnacentral:tRNA from 1 species
GGGGAUUUAGCUCAGCGGCAUAAGCACCUGCCUUGUAAGCAGGCGGGUUGUGAGUUCAAUCUCUG